CGAAGCUUUGGAGAGACUCAUUAAAUUGAGCACCGAAGGAGCAAGACUUUAAGUCGAAACUUUCAGGUAAAAGGACAGAGAGAU
rnacentral:ncRNA from 1 species